rnacentral:rRNA from 1 species
UACGGAAGGCAGCAGUGGGGAAUAUUGCACAAUGGGCGCAAGCCUGAUGCAGCCAUGCCGCGUGUAUGAAGAAGGCCUUCGGGUUGUAAAGUGCUUUCAGUCGUGAGGAAGGUGUUAAGGUUAAUAACCUUAGCAAUUGACGUUAGCGACAGAAGAAGCACCGGCUAACUCCGUGCCAGCAGCCGCGGUAAUACGGAGGGUGCGAGCGUUAAUCGGAAUUACUGGGCGUAAAGGGCACGCAGGCGGUUAAUUAAGUUGGAUGUGAAAUCCCCGGGCUUAACCUGGGAAUGGCAUUCAAGACUGGUUAGCUAGAGUCUUGUAGAGGGGGUAGAAUUCCAUGUGUAGCGGUGAAAUGCGUAGAGAUGUGGAGGAAUACCGGUGGCGAAGGCGGCCCCUGGACAAAGACUGACGCUCAUGUGCGAAAGCGUGGGGAGCAAACAGGGAUUAGAUACC